UACGUAGGGUGCGAGCGUUGUCCGGAAUUAUUGGGCGUAAAGAGCUUGUAGGCGGUCUGUCGCGUCUGCUGUGAAAAUCCGGGGCUCAACCCCGGACUUGCAGUGGGUACGGGCAGACUAGAGUGUGGUAGGGGAGACUGGAAUUCCUGGUGUAGCGGUGAAAUGCGCAGAUAUCGUUUGGAACGCCAAUGGUGAAAACAGGUAACUGGGAGUGUGCCGACGCUGAGACACGAAAGCCAGGGGAGCGAACGGG
rnacentral:rRNA from 1 species